rnacentral:rRNA from 1 species
UGCGUAGGGGGCAAGCGUUGUCCGGAUUUAUUGGGCGUAAAGAGCUCGUAGGUGGUUCGGUAAGUCGGAUGUGAAAUCUCCAGGCUCAACCUGGAGGGGUCAUUCGAUACUGCCGUGACUAGAGGUCGGUAGGGGAGUGUGGAAUUCCUGGUGGAGCGGUGAAAUGCGCAGAUAUCAGGAGGAACACCCGUAGCGAAGGCGGCACUCUGGGCCGAUACUGACACUGAGGAGCGAAAGCGUGGGGAGCGAACAGG